UAAUCUCUCACAAUCAAACACAUUACAUUUGCGCAGCUGGAGAGAGUUUUUCUCUCAUCUCAUCUCAUCUCAUGUCAAUUUCUCUCUCUCUCUCUCUCUCGUUUUUUAUCGCACUGAUCGCAACUCUGCUUUCAACUUUGUUUUCUCAUCGCUGAUCGACCUCUGGUUUGUUAUCGCACCACCAAUCGACUUCUGCUUUCUCAUCACCGAUUGAUCUUUGAUUUCUUAUCGCAACUCUGUGCGUAGCUUCACUUCGAAUCUCACUCUCUCGUGCUUCGCAAGAUCGACUCUGCUUGGAACUCACAGUUUGUUUUUGUAUAGGGUUCAUCAAUCAAAUGCAUGGAAUUAGAACUUGGAUGUGAUUUAUGAUGAUGGAGUUUUGAGAUAUUGUGUUGGAAGUGUUUUUCUUUUAUUUGACAAUAAUUUUCUUUUAUUUUUUUUUCUUGCAUUUUUGAUGAAUGUAAUAGUUAAUGAAGUUUGAAUGAUUUUAUUUUAAUUUUGGAUGAAUGUAAUAGUUAAGCUUAGGAUUUUGAAUGAUUUUAUUUUAAUUUUGUAUUAUUGGGUAGUAGUAGUAGUAGAUGAAGAAUGUUGAGAAAGUAGUUGAAGAAUGAGAUUGAUGAUUUACUUUAGGAUUGUAAAUGAUUUUACUUUAAUUGUAUUGUUGGGUAGUAGAUUAAUUUUGAAUGAUUUUAAGAUUUUGAAUGAUUUUAGGAUUUUA